UAGCCGUAAACGAUACUCGCUAGGUGUCGGCCACGGUGCGACCGUUGUCGGUGCCGUAGGGAAGCCGUGAAGCGAGCCACCUGGGAAGUACGGCCGCAAGGCUGAAACUUAAAGGAAUUGGCGGGGGAGCACCACAACGGGUGGAGCUUGCGGUUUAAUUGGAUUCAACGCCGGAAAUCUUACCGGGACCGACAGCAACAUGAAGGCCAGGCUGAAGACUUUGCCGAAUUAGCUGAGAGGAGGUGCAUGG
rnacentral:rRNA from 1 species